rnacentral:misc_RNA from 1 species
CUGCCCUCAUCCGUCUCGCUUAUUCGGGGAGCGGACGAUGACCCUAGUAGAGGGGGCUGCGGCUUAGGAGGGCAG